AGAGUUGAAGGAGGAGGGCGAGGUGGAAGAGAAGAAGAAGAAGAAAAUGAAGGUUUGCGAUGGAGGUUAAGAGAGCGAUAUACUGAGAAAUGCGGACAGCAGAAGAAAUAUUAUAAGCAAUUAUAAUAUUUCUUCUGCUUCUCGUAUUUCUUAGUAUAUUGCUCUUGAAGGAGGACGAGCUUCUUGAUUGACUGAGUGCAUUGAACAAGAACAAUACCAAGAAUGAAAGUGAUUUUCAGAUUCAAUGCUUUCUUGAUCGAUCGGCAAGAGAAGAAAAGUAUUAAGGUGCAAGACAAGAAAGGAUCGGUGGUGCAAGACAAGAAAGGAUCGGAGGUGCAAGAGAAUAAUCCACAUCUUUGUGGUGGAUUACAAUGGAUCCGAAAGAAUGGCUGUCUUCGUCCGUUUUCUGAUUUUUCCCGGUGCUUUUUAGAGGGAGUUUGUGGGUGAGAGAGAAUCCAUUUUGAAAUUGAGAGAGAAGGCGGGCGAAAGUGGUGGAUCAGUUUGAAAAAGAAGUCGUCUCUGAGGAGGAAAAAUUGAGAGGGAUUUUCGAUUCAAUGGAUCCGAAUGAAUGGCUGUCGCCGUCCGUUUGUGGGCAAGUGCAAAUUCGUUUGGAGUUUAGCUCUCCCGGCGGGGUCCACCAGAGAGCAUCCAUUGCCGGGCGUGUUGGUAGGAGGGAAAGAGAGAGGGGUGAUGUGGUAUGAUAAAUCUGAGGCGGAAUUGAUGGAGGAGGAAAUAAAGAACAAUAUGGUCCGCGGCAUAUUUGGUUUUACAGAUGGUUUGGUAGGAUAAGGUAAAGAAAAAGGCUGCAAGGUGGAUCAACGCUCUCCACGUAUUGUGAGGACUAAGGAGAACGAUUAGCAGUAGAUUUGAGGAGCAUCUAAGGGGGACAUCCAGGGUACGCAUAAACAUGUAAAAUGUAGCAUUCCAAGCAUGUGGGAAUCAAAUGGGUGUGCUCUGAAACCAUUUUCUUUCAUUAGAAACUACACUUGGGAUGGAGGCCAUGUUUAUCACAUAAUGCAUCCGGAAUUUGAAGGCAUUAA